rnacentral:rRNA from 1 species
GUCCCAGUUCGGAUUGUAGUCUGCAACCCGACUACAUGAAGCCGGAAUCGCUAGUAAUCGCGGAUCAGAAUGCCGCGGUGAAUACGUUCCCGGGUCUUGUACACACCGCCCGUCACACCAUGGGAGUCGGAAAUGCCCGAAGUCUGUGACCCAACCAUUAAGGAGGGAGCAGCCGAAGGCAGGUCGGAUGACUGGGGUGAAGUCGUAACAAGGUACC